rnacentral:rRNA from 1 species
GUAGGGGCCAAACGUUUGUCCGGAUUUAUUGGGCGUAAAGGGCUCGUAGGCGGUUCAACAAGUCGGUCGUGAAAUGCCGGGGCUCAACCCCGGAACGCCGGUCGAAACUGUUGUGACUAGGGUCCGGUAGAGGUGAGUGGAAUUCUCGGUGUAGCGGUGGAAUGCGCAGAUAUCGAGAGGAACACCAGUUGCGAAGGCGGCUCACUGGGCCGGUACCGACGCUAAGGAGCGAAAGCAUGGGGAGCAAACAGGAUUAGAUACCCUGGUAGUCCAUGCCGCAAACUGUGAACACUAGGUGUGGCGGAUCUAUUGAUGUCUGCCGUACCCGUAGCUAACGCGUUAAGUGUUCCGCCUGGGGAGUACGGCCGCAAGGCUA